rnacentral:rRNA from 1 species
CAGUCGAGCGAGCUUGCCUAGAUGAUUUUAGUGCUUGCACUAAAUGAAACUAGAUACAAGCGAGCGGCGGACGGGUGAGUAACACGUGGGUAACCUGCCCAAGAGACUGGGAUAACACCUGGAAACAGAUGCUAAUACCGGAUAACAACACUAGACGCAUGUCUAGAGUUUGAAAGAUGGUUCUGCUAUCACUCUUGGAUGGACCUGCGGUGCAUUAGCUAGUUGGUAAGGUAACGGCUUACCAAGGCAAUGAUGCAUAGCCGAGUUGAGAGACUGAUCGGCCACAUUGGGACUGAGACACGGCCCAAACUCCUACGGGAGGCAGCAGUAGGGAAUCUUCCACAAUGGACGAAAGUCUGAUGGAGCAACGCCGCGUGAGUGAAGAAGGGUUUCGGCUCGUGAAGCUCUGUUGGUAGUGAAGAAAGAUAGAGGUAGUAACUGGCCUUUAUUUGACGGUAAUUACUUAGAAAGUCACGGCUAACUACGUGCCAGCAGCCGCGGUAAUACGUAGGUGGCAAGCGUUGUCCGGAUUUAUUGGGCGUAAAGCGAGUGCAGGCGGUUCAAUAAGUCUGAUGUGAAAGCCUUCGGCUCAACCGGAGAAUUGCAUCAGAAACUGUUGAACUUGAGUGCAGAAGAGGAGAGUGGAACUCCAUGUGUAGCGGUGGAAUGCGUAGAUAUAUGGAAGAACACCAGUGGCGAAGGCGGCUCUCUGGUCUGCAACUGACGCUGAAGCUCGAAAGCAUGGGUAGCGAACAGGAUUAGAUACCCUGGUAG